CCCGCUGAACUUAAGCAUAUCAUUAAGCGGAGGAAAUGAAACUAACUAGGAUUCCCUUAGUAGCGGCGAGCGAAGAGGGAAGAGUUCACGACGGUAAUCGCAAUUUUUGCGAGUUGUGUUCGAAAGAUUACCAGCGCAAUGUUAAAGGAAAAUUACUUGGAAUAGAGUACCAUAGAGGGUGAUAGUCCUGUUUAUCCUUUGAACGUUGUGCAUUCGGUGUCUUUUUAUUGAGUCGUGUUCCUUGGGAGUGGAGCACAAAAUAGGUGGUAGUUUUCAUCUACAACUAAAUAUUGGUGGGAUACCAAUAGCGAACAAGUACCGUGAGGGAAAGAUGAAAAGAACUUCGACAGGAGUGUUAAAAUUGCAUGAAACUGCUGAAAGGGAAGCGAGUGUAAACUAACCCGACUUAUGGAUGACUUUUCUAAAUAUGCUGCUUGUGUGUCUUUGUGAGAACGAGACACGCAUUUAGUAAAUAGAUUUGUUAUUGUUUGUUGGAUUGACACGAGCUAUUUUUUGGGUUUACUUGUUCUCUUGUAGUGCGUAGUACUCAUAAGAUGGCUGACCGAAACCGCUUAGGCGUACGGUGUCAAAAAAGUUUGCAAACGACCCGUCUUGAAACACGG
rnacentral:rRNA from 1 species